rnacentral:lncRNA from 1 species
GUGUGGGCACCCGGGGCUGGGGACAGGGCAGGGCUGGGACAGCGGGAUGGGACAGCAGGGCUGUGGAUGCAGCGUCCAUCCUGUGUCCAUCCCUGUGUCCAUCCCUCUGUCCAUCCUGUGUCCAUCCCUCUGUCCAUCCCUGUCCAUCCCUGUGUCCAUCCUGUGUCCAUCCCUCUGUCCAUCCCUGUGUCCCUCCCUGUCCCCCCCAUGUCCCUCCCUGUCCAUCCCUGUGUCCAUCCUCUGUCCAUCCCUGUGUCCAUCCCUGUCCAUCCUCUGUCCAUCCCUGUGUCCAUCCCUCUGUCCAUCCUGUGUCCAUCCCUGUGUCCAUCCCUGUGUCCAUCCCUGUCCAUCCCUGUGUCCAUCCUGUGUCCAUCCCUCUGUCCAUCCGUGUGUCCAUCCCAGUCCAUCCUCUGUCCAUCCCUGUCCCUCCCUGUCCAUCCCAUCCAUCCCUCUGUCCAUCCCUGUGUCCAUCCCUCUGUCCCUCCCUGUCCAUCCCUGUGUCCAUCCCUCUGUCCCUCUGUCCAUUCCUCUGUCCAUCCCUGUGUCCAUCCUGUGUCCCUCUGUCCCUCCCUGUCCCCCCCUAUGUCCCUCCUGUGUCCAUCCCUCUGUCCCUCUCUCUGUCCCUCCAUGUCCAUCCCUCUGUCCCCCCCAUGUCCCUCCCUGUCCAUCCCUCUGUCCAUCCCUCUGUCCCUCCCUCUGUCCAUCCCUGUCCCCCCCCCCAUGUCCAUCCCUGUCCAUCCCUGUGUCCAUCCCAAUCCAUCCCUGUGUCCAUCCCUCUGUCCCUCCCUGUCCAUCCCUCUGUCCAUCCUGUCCGUCCCUCUGUCCGUCCCUGUCCCCUCCCCGCAGUGCCCAGAAGUGCCUGAUCCAGCCCAGCCCCCGCUGCCGCAGAAUUUGGGGCUGGGGGUUCCCAAAUCCCCCC